rnacentral:piRNA from 1 species
AGACAGUUUGGAGUUAUGUUAGAAC